ACUAUGGAACGGGGAGGAUUCAUUUUCUUUUCAAAGCCCUCGUCAAACUCAAUGCUAAGUUUGACUGCUCCCUUCGGAGUGACAACAAGCCUUGUUUUCCCCUAAUGUGGAUCGGGGAGGAUUCCUUCUCUUUUCAAAGCCCUCAUCAAACUCGAUGCUGUGUUUAGAACGCUAAGAGUAGGUGGUCUGGUUUUGGUUAGGCCAAAAGUGAAGUUUUCCCCCAUUUUUUAUGGGCUUUUUCUAAUGUAUAUUGGAUAUGUUGUUUGAUUUUUUUUAUAGCUCUUGAUUGUCUUACUGUUUUAUGUUUUGCAUUGUCAAGUCUCUGUUUUCUUUCUUUGGUAUGCAAUGUGGUAACUAGGUCUUGCUAGAACCGGUAGGCUAACCUUUCUAUGGUUCUACAUUUAGUUCCUAAUUAAGUUUGAUUGCUCCCUUCGGAGUGACAAUAAGUUUUGUUAAUGUCGACCCUUUUCUAAAGGGAUUUAGUUCACUGUGGCUAGGCAAGAGGUUUCUAACUCAUGUUUGACAAGACAAAUUUGUUAAAACCAUCUUAGUUUCUAAAGAGUGCCUCCUAUCCCUUUUUUACUCUAUCUAGGCUAGGUUUGGACUAAGUGCAUCAUAGGUAAGUCACGACAAAGCAACAAAGGAAGACAAAGCUAGAAAAGUAUUCAUGCACUUAUUUAUUAUACAUGCAAUCAAGCAUUCACAACAUACAUACCAUUUUCUCAAUCAUGCAUUCACACCUCAAUAAGAAAUAGCUAAAAGGAGCUUACAACAAAAAAGACAGCCGCUUAUUCUCAAAUUUCAGCACAUAUACUCAUCAAAAUUUAGAAUUUCACAUUGCAAACCCGAGCUCAGUGCUCAAGGGUUGCCAAUCAUGCUUUUUAUGCAAGAUCUAAUUAAGCUAAGAAGGUAUAAUGCUCAUUUUGUAUGGAAAGAAUUCUGAAAUUUUUUUUAAAUUUGGGCAAAAUUUGAACCCCGAAGUUUAGACUAAACAUGCAAGCUAAGCAAGCUAUUACCCACACCCACUCAAAAAAUUGCUUUGUCUGUCCUAAAAGCUUUUGAAAAUCAAAGUAAAUGGAGAAAAAUAAGGGGGAACUUUGGACUCCCCUAGAAGGAUCGACAUCCUUGACUUUGGUUUGAAGCUUGCAUGGAUAAACCUUUUCAUUCCUUUUUAAUUGAUUAUUCAUCCUUGUUCCUGAAAAUCAAAGGAAAUUCUCUCAAUUUUAUAUAUUACUAAAAUUAGGAUACAUAUAAGUCUUAACUAGUCUAAUAGCACCCUCCAUUCAUCUUCCCCUACACUGGCUAUGGUAUCAAAAUUUUCAAUUAAGUAAUACGUCUACUAACGAACUUGAAAACAAAACACAUCACACUAAAAAACACAAACAUCACUUUAACCCAACAGAAGCUGCUCUUUUUACCCUUGCACUCACUAUCACAUUACUAUCAUGUUUGUCAACUGUCAAACUAACUCUUUUAAGUUAUUUAGUGUGACUACAAAGUUAUGAACACCAUAAUCUUAAUUAAAACCUUUUAAUAAACAAAUGCCAAGUUACUACUCAACAAUGGCAAGGAAUUCAAAAAACAUGACUGUAACGACCCAACUUUUCUAGGUAAGUCGAAGUCAUUAAUUUCAAAUAAGGACCUGAGUUUACACAAAAUCUCAAUCUCAAACAAUUUCAAAGUCUCAAGAAAAACAAAAAUUUAUACCUGGGCCCGGUUUAAAAUAACCAGCACCUUCAAGACAAAUUUACUAAUUCGUGAAUACAGUUCAACUAUAAAAUUUUCUAAACAAUCUCAAGUACUAAACAAAACACGUGAAACAAAACAUUUAGCGGAAGCAAUUUAAAAUAACCCCUAUGGCAAUCACGCUUCCUUUCUGCCCCUCGUCGGUUUGCCGUCUUUAUUACCUUUGCCUGAAAAUUAAACAUAAGGAGGGUGAGUAUAAAAAUACCCAGUACGAGACCCUCUACUGGUCCCGUCAGGGGAAAAUAAAUUGUUAACAUUCUAUUGGGACACCCUGUACAGUCACAGUCUUGUGAUCCCGUAGGAGGCACAUUUCAGUCUAACGCCCCGAGGGACGUACAUUUCAGUCUAGUGUUCUGCAGAAACACAUAUCAGUCUAAUGCUCUUGAAGGUGCAGAAUAAUUGGUGAUCCGUGUGACACCUACAAGGCACACAUCCCAAUAAAAGCUAACAAUUUUUCCCCUCAGUCCAUUCUAAACAUCUUAACAGUCAUUCACAGAUCAGUUAAACAUUCUCAUCACGUAAACUCUUUAUUUAACCUCAAACAGUCGUCUUACUCUAGUUUAGUCCAAGGUCAAUAAAAAAACAUAUCAUUACAUCAGUUAACAAGCUAAACAAUCAUAACCUCCUCCUCAGUCACCAAGGGCACCACCAUGACGUUUCUUCCGUUCACAAGCACACAACAUAACAGUAGAUUAUACACUCAGUCUAGACAACAAUCAAUCUACUAAUCAAAUCCACACUUUAUAUAAGCAACAUCUACGAGAUUCAGUCGUUUCCACAUCCUUAUCUUUGUACACAUACAUAACUAGACAGUCACAACAUAUACUCAACCACAGUCUACAUCAAUCCAUGCACAUAUAUGUAUUAAUUUCUCCCAGUCAAACAUAGCAAACAUUAAACUUUAAGUCAAUGCCCAAACAUACAUCAUAACAGUCAUCUCUACUCAGUUCAAAUCAAUACAUCUUAAUUAGUCAUUAUAUAUUAAUUUUGUUGUUGAGUCUAGUAGAAAAUCCCUUACUUUCAAGUUAGUUAAGCUCCUUAACCACGUUGAAGUCUACGAAGAACGAACCUAAACAUUAAGACAAUUUCUCAAUAAUUCUCUUCAACGCAUCAAUCAUUUAAAUUCAACCCAAUGUGAUUUUUUUUUUACAACUUACCCAAAUCUUCACAAAACGAGUUCCAACUAGAAUCAAUUGUUUGCUGCGAACCCAAUGAAUUCGAGUGUUACCUUCAACCUAUAAUCGAACAGUAAACUAUUUAUCCAACCAAUUAAUCCAGCAAUAUUACUUGAGUUUAUUUUGGAAACAGUUACAAAUUUCAUAACUUCAAUCUUACCAAUCAAAAUUUAAUGACUCGUGGCAAAGCAGGAACGACAGCGAACAACCCAAUCGAAUGGCGUGGGUUUGCUACCUGCGGCAGGACGAAGAAGGAACUCGACGCGCAGAAAGUUGGAUCUGGGGUCUUUAGUUCGGUUCACGGUAGCGAAUUAAAACCUGAUUGCGCGGACGUCAAAGGUGUUAUUCGCGGAAGAAGUCGAGCAGCAGCUUUGCGAAGAGACGACGUGCGACGGAGAGACUGUAUACAGACGGACGGAGAGUCGCGCGGCAGUGCAGAAAACGGAGGAGAAAGGAAUGGGCGGCGGCUGGGCUUGGCUUCGACGGAGACAGAGGCGAUUAGGACGGGGCACGGCGACGCAGAUCUGGACGACGGCGCGGAGACAGAGGUUGCGCGGCGCUGGGCAGAGGGUCAAACGGCGCUGGGCGAAGGGUCACACGGCGCUGGGCGGAAGGUCACACGGCGGCCUUGCUUCGCGAACAGAGAUGGCGGCCGACGGUUGCAGCGGCGGCUGGGUAUGGUAGAAAAGAAAGAGAAACGGAAGAAGAAUAGGGGCGGCGACCGUGGAUCGGAGAAGAAAAGAAGGAUGAAAGCGAUGGUGGUCGGUUGGAGGGUGCGGCUGGAGGUAGGGAUCGGUGAAGGAGAAAAUAGAAAAAGAAAAUGAAGGGGAAAUGGGGGUUGCGCGCGGGAGGAAGAAGAAAGGAAAAAAAAUUCUUUUUUUUUUUUCUUUUCUUUUAUUUAAAUUAAAUAAUAAAACUAAAAUAUAAAUAAAUAUAUAUAUAAUUAUAUUAUCACAUUUUCAAAUCUUCUUUCUCCCCCUUCAUCAUAUUUUCUUCAAAAAAAUAAAUCUUGUACAAAUCGAAUAAUUUUCUUAAAAUAAAUUACCUUCGAGUUUGGGGCGUUACAAUGACAGCUAUAUUGUAACUUGGCACUUGGGGACUUUAAUGGUGUCAAUAUUGUAACUUCUGGUGCCAUGACAAAUAUUGGUGACUGUCAAGAUAAGUUCGCAUAGCCACCGAAAGAUACAUCGUUGCUUUUGAAGAAUGACAAGACUCUAAAUGAUAUAUGCAGCAUUAUUUUGGUUAUAUCCAAUCUUCUUUGAAGGCUAUGUACUUGAAGAUUUUAAUCAAUAAAUAAAAUGAAGUUUAAUUUUUAAAAUAAUAACAUUACAAUGGGAUGGCGAUUGGAAUUGAUUACUUUGGUUAAAAUUUAAGAUUAGAUUAAAAAAAUCAAUUAAUAGAUAAUUCCAUCCAAUCAAAAUAACUAAAUAAAAGACGAGAUUUGAAAAUAUAAUAUCCUAAUAGACACUAAUAGACUUAUAUUAAUAGAUAAUUUCCUGCCGAUGAAAAAUUACUAAAGUUGUACUAUAUUUUAUAAAUAUUUCAAAACAUUACAUAAACACUAAUUAAAGUUGGGUUUAGUAGCAAAAGGUUACAAAUUUAUUGACACCUUUUUUAGGAAAAAAAAUACCUUGACAUGAUGUAAACUAAAUUUGUAAUCAGCAUUGAAAUCUUUACUAUACUAAAUGGGCUCGUGGAGAAAAAAUUAUAUACAUCUAUUUUAUUCUUAAAUUGUCGAAAAAAAAUUAUAUUACCUUUUGUGAUCUAACGUAGUUGUGACUUUUAUAGUGUAAGUGUCCAUUUUAAUGUUUGGAAAGAUGAUUUUUCCAAUUUUUUAGUUUACAAAAUAAAGUUCUAUAUUUCAUAAAAUAAAACCUUAUGUUGAAUAUAUGUAACUAAUGUUGAUAGGAUGUGAUUGGUUGAUCUUCAAGAUACGAUGCAUUCUGUUUAGAGUGGAGAUGGUUGCACACACAUCAAAUUGGUGCAUUGAUUCCUCCAAAUUUACAUGUGAAAUGUAAAUGUAAAAGAAAAACAAAACAAACUCUUGCAGUUACACAUUAGGAAAAAAAAACGUCACGAAAUUCCAAAGUUCAAAAGAAAACAAACAUACACAGGGAUUUAAUUGAUUCAAAGUAGUAACAAAUGGUGAAAAAAUGCAUAAUUUGUUGUGAUUUCACAUUAACAUGUUAGAAUAAAAAAUUAUCGUAUUCUAUAUAUUACAAUAUUGGAUCAAAUAUUAAUACAUUAAUUUAAUUAUUUAAUUACUACAUCAAUGAAUUUCUUUUUCUUUUUUAAAUAAUAAUUUUACCAUUAAUAUUAUAUAAUAUUUGUUUAUUAUAUGCUAAAGCAUAUUUAAAAAUUAAAUAGAAUUAAGAGAUUUCACGUGAAUUUAUGCACAUGUUUCAACUGAAAAGAUGGAAACAAUAGUCACAAAUUAUUUUUUCCUAAAACAAAACAUUCGUAACCAAAUCUAAAUAUGCACUUUCAUAACUAAGGACCAAAACUCAUAUUACGUAGAAUUGAGCAUGGUUUAAAUGAAAUUAUUAACAAAAUACUUACACUUUAAACCAGGUUUUUUGGCAACAUACAUAGUGAGAAAAUUCCAAAUUUACCCUCUUACUUGUAUCUUUUCAAUAAAAAGUGCAUCUUAGUUGUAAUUAUGUCAAAAUAAAAAUAAAAAAAUAACUCGUCAGUUAACGUGGUUAUUCAUUAAUUGAUUUGGGUGAACUUUCUGAAGAUAAAAAUAACAAAAACAAACAAACAAAAGACUAGAACAUGUUAUUUAAUUAUGUAAUUACAACUUCCCUUUCUCCUCCGUGAGAAAAAAAACCAUUUCUCUAAAUUUCAUCUAUAUAUGUGUAUUGAUCAAAUGACCCAUAUCAAUAAGGACACAAAAUUGGCAAAGAACAAAUAAAUUAAAAUGGACAAUAACUCUUGUUUCAUUACUUUCUCUCUCAUUGGAGUUCUUUUGUUCACCAUCAUUUCAAAUGUGGCAUCAUCUAACGACGUUGUUUCUACCAUCUGUUCAGAAAUCUCAAAUCCACAAUUUUGUUUAAGUGUGUUGAAAUCUGCAGGCACUACAGAUCUAAAAGGCUUGGCUGUAUACACCUUAAACCUUGCUCAUUCAAAUGCUGGCAAAUCUUUGAUCCUAGCCAACUCACUAGCAAAAGCCACCACCAAUCCUCAACUUAAGCAACGAUAUUCAUUUUGUGCUGAGAGCUAUGAUGAAGUUGUUGGUGACAUUGAAAAUGCUCAAAACGACUUGGCACUUGGGGACUUUAUUGGUGUCAUUAUUGCAACUACUGGUGCCAUGACAACUCUUGGUGAUCACUGUCAGAAUAAGCUCUUGCAGCCGCCGAAGGAUACAUCGUUGCUUUUAAAGAAUAGCAACACUCUAGAUGAUAUAUUUAGCAUUAUUAUGGUUAUAUCCGAUCAUCUUUGAGGGUUAUGUACUUGAACAUUUUGAUCAAUAAAUAAACUGAAGUUUAAUUUUUAAAAUAAUAUUACAAUGUGAUGGUGAUUGGAAUUGAUUACUUACUUUGAUUAAACUUGAGAAGAUAAAGAAAAUCAAUUAAUAGAAACGUUCACCGACACACAUUGUCAGCACGUCGGAGAAAGCCUAAACUUUUUUUUCUUUUCUUUUACGUUCUGUUUUCUUUUCUUUGUUUGCCAUCAUCAUCGUCAUCUUCUUCUUCUUCUAGCUUCUUACGUUCUGUUUCAAUUGCAUACUUCUGUUAUUCUUGUAAUUUCUUCGUGGUUUUCUUUUUAACUUUGUGUUUCAGUGUGGAUUCAUAAACACAUUUUUCAGUGCUCUGGAUUCUGGAUCUGUUAUGAUUUGAAAGGGUACAGUGAAGUGAAAAGUUGAAAUGGAAAAGAAAAAAAAGAAGAAAAGAGGACACUUCUCGCGGUGGUGGCGGCAAAGACUGACGUCGACGACAACACAACUCUCCUCCUCUCCCUAUAUCUCGGCCGAUUUUGGGUUUAUUUUCGUUUUGCAUUCUGUUAUGUGUAGAAGGGAGAAUAAAUAGUGUGGACUUUCCCCGACAUCUUCGAAAACGUUGGGAAAUUUACCUUUUCGCCGACGUAUGUAGUACACACGUCGGAGAAAGUUUAAAUAAUAAAUUCAUUAUUUAAACUUUCCCCGACGUACUCCUGUCAUACGAGUCUAAAUUAAAUUUAAUGCGUUCUCCUUCGGCGAUGUGUGUCAAGGUGACGUUGGAAAAAGUUUAAACACUAAUGCAAUUAUUUUAAAUCACAUAUGUUAUCGCUUAUAUGGCAUAAGAGUCUAUUAACGAUAGAAAUCUAUCUUGAUAGGUUUUGCUACAUUUACAAUUUUUAAAAAAUAUUCUUAUAUACUUAACUAUUAUUCCUAAAAUUGCUAACCCAUUAUACUUACCCUAAGUUAAAUGUAUAAUGUCAAAAGUAAGUUUACUACGAAGGUAAUCUAUGUGACCCUUUUAUCCUAACGUAGGAAGUUUGUUCCACUCCAUACCAUUAUUGAACUAAAAGGAUUAAGUGUGUAUUAAUAUGUUUAAACAAGUAUAAUUAUAGCAAAAUCUAUAAGUGAUAUAUUGAUAUUAGCAAUACAAUACGCGUCACAUAUGCAAACAUUUUGUGUCUAAUCGUUGUAUUUACAAUUAACUCCAUUAAAAUAUUACAAAUAGAAAUAGAACUCUUUAAUCUAUGUUCAGUUAGGAUCACAAACUACAAAAUGAAAGCAUGGAACAAAUUUAAUUUUUUUUUUCUUUAAAGGAAAUUUUGUGUGUAGCACAUUAUAUUUUUUUCUUUCCUUUAAAAAACAUUAUUGAUCUUAUGAUAUUUGACAUAUAUUAUAUUUUUUUAAGAAUGUAAAUAAUGUAAAUAAUGUGCCAAAUAAUUGAAAACAUGUUAUCCAAAACAGAGAAUGGUUAAGAAAUUGUUGACAUUUAGUCAAAUUAAUAAAUAAUUCAAAAUUGUGUUUGAUUUUUGAAUUUGAAAAGAUAGUAAAUUAGAAGUGUUUUGAAAUAGUAUUUACGAGAAGAUUUUUAAUUUUAAAUAGCAUUAUAGUAGCUAUGGAUGGUUAUAUAAUAGUCUACACAAUCUUUGUCACAAAUGAUUAAUUCGAUUUUUUAAAUCAAGUCUAAUGUUUUUUUUUUUUUUUUUUGCCUAUUUCUUACCAUAAUUUACAUUUUUUGUAAGUAUAAUGGUUGAAUGCAAAAAGAGAGCUGACUAGUAAGUGCAAAAAGAGAUCUCACAAGCUUCUGCAAAAGCUAAUCAAGCAACCCAAAUCAUAAACGAGGAGAAAAGUUGAUUGGUUAAGCUUUGUUGUAGUAAAGAAGUCAAAGUGAACAUGGAACGUUCUUCACUCUCAAAGAACAUCGCCAACAUAUAGAUUAUAUACUUUUUCUGGUAUUGACCCAAAAAACACAAUCCAAGUGUAUUUUUGGUGAGAUGCAUAGUUUAACUAAACCGUGUUAUUACAAAAUUUUUAAUUACUAGGAACUCCUAAUGAAACGAAUACAUUAUUUUUAUAAUUACGAGGUAAAAUGGAAACAUACAAACUACUAAAAAAAGUUGCAAUUCGAUUAUUGGGAUUCAAUCUACUCUCCAUGAAUGUUCUUGAAAUGAGAGUUUUUAAGCAGCUACAACUUGCUUAUGUAUAAAAGCAAAACCCUUCUCAACGCCUACCUUCAGUUUUGGCUUUAGAGCUUCAAGUGAUUUUUGCCCCUACUCAGAUAAACCCUGAAGAUCAGAUGUUACAAAGGCUUCAAUUCCACAUGCAAAAAUCAUGUUCAUGAACCAAAAGCACCUUAAGCUUCUCUUCGAUAUCUUUGAGCUCACUGGAUAAAGAACUGAUUUCUAAAGCAAUCAUCUCUACCAUAUCCUCAUCGUUCCCACUGUCUUUUAAUAAGGUUGGCAUGAUAAUCACAACAAAGAAGAAGAAACUAAGAUCAAUUUAACAAAUUUUAUGUUGGGAAACUUUUUUAAGAACAACUACUUAUAAACCAACCUUAGCUUUGGCCUCACAUUCCUUGAAUUUUCUAAAAGUAGAUACCACCUGUCCGGGCAACCCACACCAACCAACCAAGAGUAAGUUAGUGUGAAAGACACUUAUUUAAUGAAGAAUAUGUAAAAGAGGUCAUUCCAACUGUUACACAUAAUAGUAUUGGAGGCAGAUAACCUUGCCAUACCUCAUCAAGUUCUGAUAUUGAUUGAGCUAGUUUUUGAUACUCUGUGGGGUUUGAGACAAUAUCUGGAUUGACCAGCUUAACCUAAAUAAUAAUAUCGAUAGUGAUUAUUGUGUAGGAAAAUAUUAAAGCUAUAACCAAAUCAAAAGCAUAAUUGGAAAUACAUCAAAGAUGUAAAUGCAAAUUUCAAAAGUGGAUCUACAGAAUGUAAGGGGAAGAAACUCAAAUAAAAUUACUUUAUUAGUUAUACGACUACUAUAGAGAUUCCAGAUACACCACAGUUCCACGUCCUCUUUCAGGAGGAAAGCAAUGGUUAAAAAUUAAUUGUGAAAACUAAAGAAGGUCCUGUUCAAAUCCUAACAGCAAUAGGAAAGCAAGGAGUUAUAAGGUGAUCACUAUAGCCAAAUCCAAAAUGCAUUCAAUAUUUGUCUUCCAAUUUCAUUAUCAAGUGCAUAGGCAAGGUCCCUAGUGAGGAAGUUAUUCGUUCUUUUCUUCAUUUUCUAUAGCUCUAGAAGUAGCUAAAUGGAAUCGUCAAGCACCUAAUCUAUUAAUUUUAAAACUCAAAAGUUCACCGCGGGAUUCUAGUCACUGCUGAAACAACAUAGAGUUCACUAGUUCCACAGUUAAAUUAAUUGCAAAUUGCAUUUCCUGGCAUUUUCAAGAAAAAAAAAAUGCACAAAUCAUAAUAUGAUGAAGUAGAAAAAUUUUGUGAGCUCGACUUUUCCAGGACAUAUCUUAGCUACUUCUCCUAUUCCAGCUCGAUAACCAUUGUACUUUAACAAUUGAAACAUUAAUCCAAUAGUUAACAAUGUUCUGCACUUUAUGCCCUUACAUUUCCAACAACUUGAUGCAUACAUCAGUAGUUAACACAGGCACGAGCUCUUAAAUUCAAUGCAAAAUAACAGUCCCAUUCCAAGCAUAGACACCAAAUACAAACAAUUGAUGGACUUGAAUCAGUGAAGAAAUAAGAAUGUCAUUUAACAGCAAAGCACAAAUUACCGAUAAUUUUUUCCACGUCUUCUCAGCAGAUUCCAAUUUCACGAUCAAAUAAGGUUCCUAAAAUAAAGCAAUCACCAUCAUCAUUUUCCACAAAUAUGAUUCGAACUAGUUUUACCACAAAUUAAUUUCUAGUAACUUGAAGAAAAACUCAGUGAACUCAAAGCAUAACGAAACUCAAGUUCUGUUAAAGCCAAUCCGAACAAUAAGAUAUAGACAUAUUGUGUUCUCGAAAGAAAAACAUUCAAUAAAUCUAACAGCCAUGCAAAUUAGAGUUGAAGCUCUAAAGGGAGGUGCAAAGCAUUUAAGUUCCAGAGAGCAUCUUCUGAAGGCGAUGAGCCCAUAAGAUGAAAAAAAGGCCUCAAGUGAGGAAGAAAGACGCCAUCCAAACAUGAAAAAAGGAAGAAAGGCAAGAUUUUGGUAGCUCCAGACCUGAGGGAAGCCAACAAGGUGGCGAGGGAGGCAAGGCCCCAAAGUUUAGCAUUGCCAGCAAAGUGAAGGUAGAGAAGGACCUUUCCUUUCGACGUGGCCCUCCGAGAGUUUAUGGACGCCCCAAUUGGGGCGUUUGGAUGGAGUAAGUUCUUCAAGGGACUUCCAAGAUUCGAUGGAGGUUGUCAAGAAAUUCUACGCAUCAGAUUACAACCACUACAAGGAAUUUCAGAUCAACCAACACAAUUUAACACUAUUGGGAGAAUCCACGAAUUCUUGGUCAAGUAGAAGAACCUCCAUGUGGAAGAAACAAAUUGUGAACGUGUCGAAGACCUUGAAGUGUGGAAAUGGAAGAUCAAAGAGUUCCAGCUUCGCCAGUCGACAGGGACGUCAACUGUUUAAGUAGGGGAGAAUGUCAAGAGCAUGCUUGUCCAAGGCAUUGUUUGCCCAUGGCCGCAUGGCCGAACAUCCUCAAACCGCCUUAUAUUUAUGUCUUAUACUUAGUUUAGCCAUUUUGUUUCCUUUUGUUGUCGCCGACCUAGGGUGUGACGUUUCAAAAUUUUCAUAUGCAAGUCUGUCAUAGCUAAAAAUGUUUAAAAUGUACUAUAGGGAAGACAUAGUAGUUGAAUCCCUGACCAAGCCUUGUUGCACUCUUUGCAUUCUAAUCUUUCUUUGCAAUUAACAGUCUUCAAUGCUUUCUUUAACGAUGUUUUCAAUUCUUUUCUUCUCUUCUUGUCUUAUAAAAAUAAAUUUCUCUCAAAACAUGAAAGAGGCUAUACCGUACUGCGUGCUUUUUGCGACUUCUGGAUUUCAUACAGCUUACUUGUUCACCGAGCUAGAACAAACGUCGCAUAAUCACCAUCCCCUAUUUGAAAAUUUACGAUUAUGACAGCAUGCGGUGAGGUGCACGCGGCAUGUGUGGGCCCAAGCCAAGCAUGCAACUGGCAUUCUGAUACUCUAUGCACGUGCAUGCUGCCUGCGCCCAUGCCGUGCAGCCAGCAUUGUCAUGACGUAGUUUUUGGGAUGUUUGGUGUUUUGGGAAAUUUUGAGCAAAUUCUGGAUGUUCGAGCAUGCGGAUGUUCUAUGCAAUGCAACCAGCAGCCCAUAUGUUCUAUGUUCUCUUUACGGUCGUAUGUGCACAUUUGGUUAACUCUACUACUAAUGGGAAAGUUGACGAGCCUAUGCUGAAUUCAUCAGGAAAGGUGUACUUUGUUGAGCCCAUUGAGGAGAAGGAUACCUUCUUUUUUCGAAGAGGUGUUUCAAUGCCUAGGCCGUCUUUUGACAAUGAGGUGUUAAUAUUACCUAGACUUCAUGCUAAGAACGGGUUGUGAAUUUAUAAUCAAGAAUGCAGUUCGAGUAUCAUGUCUUUCAAAUGAUUUCCAACAGCUUGAAUGUUUCUAUAAGACAAGAAUUUAUGCUUAACUGUUUUAGAAAGCAUGUUUUAUAAAAAUUGUCACUCACUAAGUCUUUCGACUUAUCCUUUCAAAUCAUUUCUCACUUUUCAGGUAUGGAUUAUGCAUUCCCUAAUGUUAAGCGUAUUGCUGCUGAGCCAACCAGUUACUAGAAAUUGUUAAGUCAUUUUGAAAGUUAGUUUUGACUUUGUAAGAAAAGUUCAGGAUGAGCAUGUCUAUGUUUAUUGUUAAAGUUCCAAUGUUAUAAGUUAGUUUAGUAAAAAGGUCACUGUCAUGUUUAAAGCUUCUGCUGAUGUAUCACAAUAGUUGUAACUAGUGGUUUAAGUUAUUAGUAAAAGCAUGUAGCUUGUAUCGCUGUUUGUUUUGAGCAUGCAUUCAUGUUGUAACUGGUAGUUAAGUUAGAAAGGUUAGUCGGUUGGUAAGUUUUGCCAAGGUAUGGCAAUCCUUGCCAACCCUCGCACCUUCUUUCAGAGCUAGAUGUUGUUCAGAAAAUAAGGAGCUUUGGGAGGGGGUGGUGACAACAACACCAUCCCACUAGAGUACGCAAUGAUGCAUUAUUGUUUAAUUAAGUCAUAUAUACUUCCACAAUUUGGAUAGGAAUUUAACUCAUUAGAAGGUGUCCUAUAGAAUUUCUCAGUGAAAAGUUCAGAGAAGCUACAAACAAAUGUCACUACCGAACAACAAUCAUAUACAUGGGUUAGGGCUUUGAGCAGUGUGAACACAACUUAAUAAUAAAUAUGAAGUCGUCCUCUUUUCAUCAUUAGUCAGAAGAAUUCUUAAACUUUCUAAAAAUAAUUGUCAAAUAAUUGAUUAUAUAGUAUGCCAUUUAUUUGGAAUACAAUUUUUUCAUUACCAGGAAAGGAGACUUCUCACUAAGUAAAUGUAAAGAGACUAAUGCUAUAAUUUGAAUUGGAAAAUAUAAUUUCAUAAUUAAGCAUCGAAUAGGGACUAGUUAAGAAGUACACACUUUAGUUUGCCAGAGUCCAUGUUCUACACAUGUUAGCCACUCUGUCAUUGGUUUAGCAGUAAAACAAAGGAUGUGUUUAGGAUGUGAGCCACACAAAAGGGAAAGAAAACAGAAGGCGCAGUGAGCCACACAAAAGGGAUCGAAACGAAUGUUCAGAAAUAUCGGAAGGAUCGAAGAAAUAUGGAAGGAAAGACGAGGAAAAAACAACAGACCGGAGCAAGUUCAAGAAGGUAGAGAUCCCGAUCUUCAAUGGAAUAGACCCCGAUUCAUGGUUAUUUCGCGCCGAUCGUUAUUUCAAGAUACACAAGUUGACUGACUCAGAGAAGUUAAUGGUAGCGGUAAUCAGUUAUUAGGACCAGCUUUGGAUUGGUAUAGAUCAAUUGAUGAAUUGGAACAAUUCAAGAGUUGGGAAGAUUUGAAGCAAAGGUUGUUGUCCGAUUUCAGACGAUUCGGGAUGGAACACUCGUAGGCAGAUUCUUAAGGAUUAAGCAGGAAACGACAGUAGGGGAAUAUAGAAACAGUUUCGAUAAAUAUUUAGCUCCGGUAGCCUUCCUCCAGACCAUAGUAUUAGAAGAAACCUUUAUGAAUGGGCUAAGCCCAUGGCAUAAAUCCGAAGUUGAAACGCUGGAGCCCAUAGGUUUGGCCAAGAUGAUGUAACUAGCCCUGAAAUUGAAAAUAGAGAGAUGGUUCGUCGAGAAUGUGGGCUUAGUAGUGUUUCGGGAAUGAAUCAACAAUUCAAGCAUAAUAACGUAAAGCAAACCUCGACAGUAACACCCAAUCAGAAACCCACGGAAGGGAGCUGGCCAAUGAGAACGAUUACGUUAAAAAGAGUGACGGCAGAUGAAAAGAGGAGGGAAGGUCCGACCAAGCGUCUUUCCAACGCUGAAUUUCAAGCACGGAGGGAAAACGGUCUGUGUUUUCAGUGUGAGGAGAAGUAUCACGCUGGACAUAGGCGUAAGGUGAAGGAACAGAAGGAAUUACGGAUGUUAGUAGUAAAGGAAAUGGGAGAAGAACUGGAAAUCAUUGAGGAUGAACACUUUGAUGUGGAAACGGAGGCCCAGACCAUUGAAAUUGAAAAAGUGGAGAAUAUGAAUAUAGAGCUGUCCAUUAACUCAAUUGUGGGGUUAUCCAACCCUGGAACCAUGAAACUGAAAGGGAAGAUAAAAGAGACCAAAGUGGUAAUAAUCAUCGACAGUGGAGCCACCCACAGUUUUAUUGCAAAAAAUUUUGUAACCACCCUUAGCCUACCAAUGACAGAAACGUCCAACUAUGGAGUGAUUUUGGGAUCAGGGGUUGCGGUCAAAGGAAAAGGAAUCCGCAGUAAUGUUGAAGUGACGGUAGGAGAGUGGAAAAUUACAAACAACUUUUUACCCUUGGAAUUAGGGGUGGUUGCACUCAUUGGGCAUGACUGAAUUUGAUAUGAAAAAUUUGGUGAUGACAUUCCGACAUGGAGGAAGGAAGAUAGAGAUAAAGGGGGACCCUAGUGUCACCAAAACCCAAGUGAGCCUAAAGUCUAUAAUUAAGACAUGGGGAGCUGAUAAUCACGGUUAUUUGGUAGAAUGUCGGGCCAUGGAGGGAAGGCUAGCUGAGGAAGGCUUAGAGGAUGAAGAAGUGCCAGCCACUGUUGACAACAUGAUCUCUCCUCUGUUGAGCAAAUUUAAUGAUGUUUUUGAUUGGUUGGAAGAGCUGCCUUCGAAGAGGAACAUUGAGCACCAUAUACCCCUUCAGAAGGGGGUGGAUCCAGUUAAUGUCAGACCUUAUCGUUACGCACAUCGGCAAAAGGAGGAAAUUGAAAGACUAGUUGAUGAAAUGUUGAAGACAGGCAUCAUAUGACCGGGUACCAGUCUGUAUUCCAGCCCAGUCCUUCUCGUGAAAAAGAAAGAUGAUAGCUGGCAAUUUUGUGUAGAUUAUCGGGAGUUGAACAAUGUCACUAUCCCAGAUAAGUUCCCAAUUCCGGUCAUAGAUGAGUUAUUCAAUGAGCUGAAUGGGGCCAACAUGUUUUCGAAGAUUUAUUUAAAGGCGGGUUAUCACCAAAUCAGGAUGCAUCUGAGAGGUGUAGAGAAGACGGCCUUUCGAACACAAUGAGGGACACUAUGAGAUUCUUGGUCAUGCCCGUUUGAGCUAACCAAUGCCCCCUCUACGUUCCAAGCAUUAAUGAACCACAUCUUUAAGCCUUAUAUGAGAAAGAUUCGUAUUAGUGUUUUUCGAUGACAUUUUGGUGUACAACAGGGGAGUAGAAGAACAUGGACAGCAUCUGGAAGUAGUCUUGGAGAUCCUUCGAGAGAAUGAAUUGUAUGUGAAUUUAGCCAAAUGUUGCUUUGCCAAAAGUAGAAUAGGUUAUUUGGGGCAUUUCAUAUCCGAAAAGGGAGCUAAAGUUGAUCCAGAAAAAAUAAGGGCAAUUAGGGGAAUGGUCGAUUCCCACUAGUGUGCGAGAAGUUCGAGGUUUCUUAGGACUCAAUUGAUACUAUAGGAAGUUUGGGCAGAAUUAUGGCAGUAUCGAAAGCCCUUUGACACAGCUUUUGAAGACAGGAACUCAUUGUUGGACUGAAGAAGCAAGUGCUGCCUUUGAGAAGUUGAAGAUGGCAAUGAUGAUUCUACCGACGUUAGCUAUGCUGGACUUUAAUCUACCACUCGAGAUAGAAACAUAUGUAUCUUGUUUUGGUGUGGGGCCGUUUUAGUACAAGCCAAGAGACAAAUAUCCUUCUUUAGUAAAACCUUAUGCAUGUGGGAUAGAGCGCGACUGGUUUAUGAAAGAGAAUUGAUAAUAGUAGUGUUUGCGGUGCAAAGGUGGAGACCAUAUUUGUUAGGGAAGAAAUUUACAGUGAAAACUGAUCAGAAGUCGCUCAAAUUUCGGCUAGAACAAAGGGUGAUUCAACCCUAAUACCAAAAAUGGAUAGCCAAUCUUUUGGGAUAUUCAUUUGAGGUAGUCUGCAAUCCUGGAUUGGAGAAUAAGGCAGCCGAUGCUCUAUCUAGAACACCCCGUAUAGUGCACUUAAAUCAAAUAUCAGCCCCAACACUACUCGAUUUAGUGGUGAGUCAAGAAGAGGAAAAGAGGGAUCAAUACCUACAGGAAAUCCAGAAGAAAAUAGAAAGAACAAAAAGUGAAAGUUCCAAACUUUUCAGUACAGCAAGGGGUAUUGAAAUACAAAGGAAGGUUGGUGCUGUCAAAAACAUCCGUUCUACUACCCACUAUCAUGCAUACCUAUCAUGAUUUUGUCUUUGGAGGACAUUCAGGGUUCCUAAGAACGUACAAGAGGAUGACCGGAGAGAUUUACUAGGAAGGAAUGAAGAAAAACAUAAAGAAAUACUAUGAAGAAUGUCUUGUAUGCCAAAGGAAUAAAACACUUGCAUUAUUACCUGCUGGAUUGCUGCUGCGCACUUGAGAUUCCUAACACAGUGUGGUCGGAUAUUUCCAUGGAUUUUAUAGAUGGACUUCCAAAAUCAGCUGGAAAAGAAGUGAUUUUUGUGGUUGUAGAUUGUCUGAGUAAGUAUGCACAUUUUACAGCUAUAAAUCAUUCUUACAUGGCCAGCUUCGUAGCAGAAGUUUUUGUUAAAGAAGUGGUGAGAUUGCACGGUAGCAUGUAUCCGCAGUAAGUUGUAUCGGAUCAAGACAAAAUCUUUAUUAGUCAUUUCUGGAAGGAAAUGUUCAAGUUAGUGGGAACUAAAAUAAAUAGAAGGAAAUGUUCAGGUUAGUGGGAACUAUGCCCAUAUACACCAAGUUCGAAUAUAGAACUUGCUUCUUACUGAAAAAAUAAUGAUUAUGGGACUUGCUAUAAGGGUAUCCAAUACUCGAAGUAAAUGAAUGAUUACAAAAUGAUUGUUUCCUCAGUUUGAAGAAGAACAACAAAAAAGAAAAGAAGGAUAAAAAUAAAAAAAAAAACAAACUUUCUUUUUGAAAUUCUAAAAGAAUCCAAAAAGACUUCAAAAGGUGCAACCAAGAAAGGAGGUCAAAGAAGGGCUCUGAUAGACCCCCCUAUCAUACGUCAAUAUAGUCAAAAAAAAAAAGAGAGAGAUCACAAGGGAACACACAUGCGAAGAAGAAAAGAUUUAAAGGAUUGUUAGAAGAAAAGAUUUAAAAAGCUUGUUGGGCGUCGGUUAGAUUUGAGGAGAUUUAGGAGGGUCGUUAGGUGUUGAUUAGAAUAAAUAAGGAUAGGGAGGAAAGAGGAGGGUAUGCUGAGUUUAGAAGAAAAUUGACUCAUGCUCUUCCUUGAGCGAUAGGAUAGCAGAGAGGGAAUUAGAUUGUUUUUCGAAUUGAGUCCUCCUCAAUUUGAGUGUUCUGAUAUUUUGAUUUUCCUUGUAACUCAUUCUUUGAUUGAAGCAAUAAAAGUUCUAAUUGGAUUUCCAAAAGAGUUCUAUCAAAUUGGUAUCAGAGACAGUUUUUUCUGACCAAGAGGAAAAUGAUGGUCCAAACACGAAUGAAGGAGAGAAUGGAGGCGCACGACCAGGAGAUGCAUUUGAUGAGAAGCGAGAUAAGCAAAAUUUCGACAAUGAAAGAAAUAUUAGCCACGAUCAGCGUACAGACAAAGAAGACUCACAAAAUGUUGAUAAUGUUCAUGGAAUCGAUUACCAGAGAGCAUAUCGUUAUGAGUGAGAAAAUGGCCGAGUCGAGUGUGCGAGAGACAGUAUCAACAAUAACGAAUAAGAAGGAAGGCUCGAUCGAAAAGGACCAUGAGCACGAAACAAAGGAUGGAAAGAUAGAAGGAGAAGACGGAGCGAACGAGCAUAAUAAGUUCAAGAAGGUUGAGAUGCCAGUUUUCAACACGGAAGAUCCCAAUUUUUGACCCUUUCGAGCAGAUAGAUAUUUUCAGAUACACAAAUUGACUGAUGCUGAGAAGGUCCUGGUUGCGACCAUUAGUUUUGAAGGCCCGACGCUGAACUAGUAUAGGGCGCAAGAAGAACACGACAAGUUUACCAGUUGGUCGAACCUCAAGGAGAGAAUACUCAUCCGUUUUCAAUCAGCAAAAGAGGGGUCCAUAUGCGGACAAUUUUUUAGGAUCGGAUAACAGACGACAGUAGAAGAAUAUCGAAACCAGUUAUAUAAGCUGAUGGAACCGUUAUCCGAUCUACAAGACAGAGUGGUGGAGGAAACAUUCAUGAACGGUUUACUGCCGUGGAUUAAAGCAGAAGUGGAUUUUUGUCGUCCGGUCGACGUGGCUCAAAUGGUGCACGCGGCUCAACUCGUAGAAAAUCGAGAGAUAAUUCACAAUGAGGCCAACCUUAAGGGGUACGCCCAAGGAAAAUAUCCGCCUCAAGGUUCUAGGCAAAAUACGAGUGCUGCGACGGUGAACGAUAGCGACAAUAAGAGAAAUACAUUAUUUUCGAUGAGAACGAUUACUCUGAGAACGACAUCCAGAGAAGUUAAGAGAGGGGCAGGCAAAGCGAUUGUUAGACGCGGAGUUUCAAGUCAGGAAGGAAAAAGGACAUUGUUUCCGUUGUAAUGAGAUAUAUUAUCAUGAUCAUCGAUGCAAAAACAGAGGGCAAAGAGAGUUGAGAAUGUACGUGGUCAGGGCGAAUGAUGAAGAAUUUGAAAUCAUAGAAGAAGUGGGAGAAAAUGAAUUGUUUGGAAAUCACAUAAGAAGAUCAUGUUGUCAUCGAACUGUCAAUUAAUUCGGUGGUGGGGCUGAACAAUCCGAGGACAAUGAAGGUGAGGGGGAAUAUCAGUGAGCGAGAAGUUUUCAUUUUCAUUGAUUGUGGAGCAACGCACAACUUCAUCUCCGAAAAGAUAGUAAAGGAGUUACAACUGGCCACGAAGGCAACGUCGCACUAUGGUGUAAUCUUGGGCUCGGGGGAGGCGAUAAAAGGUAAAGGAGUAUGUGAGGACGUGGAAAUCAAGUUGAACGGGUGGAAGGUGGUGGAAAAUUUGUUACCCUUAGAAUUGAGAGGGGUAGAUGUUGUGUUAGGAAUGCAGUAGUUGUAUUCAUUGGGCAUGACGGAAGUAGAUUGGAGGAACCUCACAAUGACUUUUGUGCAACAAGGAGAAAAGGUAGUGAUAAGAGGAGACCCAAGUUUGACCAAAUCCAGAGUGAGUCUCAAGAACAUGAUCAAAAGGUGGAAGGAUUCGUGAUCGAGUGCCGAGCAAUGGAGAGAGUCUUUGAGCCACAGGAAGAUAACGGGAUUGAAGAAGUAUUAACUACUGAUGAAGCAGUAUCGGUCGUGUUGAAGAAUUUUGAAGAUGUUUCUAAUUGGCCGAAGACACUACCCCCGCAAAGAAAUAUUGAACAUCACAUUCAUUUGAAACAGGGCACUGAUCUGGUAAAUGUUCGACCCUAUAGAUACGCUUAUCAACAGAAAGCUGAGAUGGACAAACUUGUGGAUGAGAUGUUGACAGCUGGAAUUAUCCGUCCCAGCAACAGUCCAUAUCUAGUCCAGUUCUAUUGGUAAUGAAAAAAGAUGGCAGCUGGCGUUUUUGCGUAGACUACCAAGCGCUGAACAAUGUAACCAUUCCAGACAAAUUCCCUAUUCCGGUGGUUAAGGAGCUUUUCGAUGAAUUAAAUGAAGCAAACUGGUUUUCAAAGAUUGAUUUGAAGGUGGGGUACCAUCAGAUCAAAAUGUGUGGAGAAGACAUCGAAAAAGCAGCAUUCCGAACACAUGAUGGACACUAUGAAUUUAUGGUUAUGCCAUUCGGCUUAACUAAUGCCACAUCCACUUUCCAAGCUCUGAUGAACUCAACAUUCAAACCAUUUUUGCAGAAGUUCAUAUUAGUGUUUUUCGACGACAUACUAAUCUACAGUGAGAACUUGGAACACCAUUUGAAGCACAUUGGGUUAGCAUUGGAAAUCCUGAGAAAGAAUGAGUUAUAUGCAAACAAGAAGAAGUGCAGCUUCGCACAAGAACGUAUUGAUUAUUUGGGUCAUAUCAUUUCAAGACAAGGAGUUGAAGUGGACCUUGAGAAAAUCAGAGCAAUCACGGAAUGGCCUAUACCCAGUAAUAUAAGAGAGGUACGGGGAUUCCUAGGCCUCACCUGUAACUAAAGAAAGUUCGUUCAGCACUAUGGCUCCAUUGCCGCACCAUUGAUUCAACUACUUAGGAAAGGGGGAUUCCAGUGGACUGAGGAGUCUAAGGAGGCAUUCCAACAACUACAAAAUGCGAUGAUGACCCUGCCCGUUUUGGCGUUGAAAAAAUUUCAAUGCCACAUUUGAAAUGGAAACCGAUGCAUCGGGAUAUGGGGUAGGAGUCGUACUCGUCCAAGCCAAGCGUCCCAUAGCAUACUUUAGUCAUACGUUAGCCUCAAGAGAUAGAGCCAAGCCUGUACAUAAAAGGGAAUUAAUGGCAGUGGUCUUGCAUGUGCAACGAUGGCGACCAUAUCUGUUGGGGAGAAAAUUUAUUGUGAAGACCGAUCAGAAAUCCUUGAAGUUCUUGUUAGAACAAAGAGUGAUACAGCUUCAGUAUCAGAAAUGGGUAGCGAAGCUAACGGGAUACUCAUUUGAGGUGGUCUACAAACUCAGCUUGGAGAAUAAAGCAGUAGACGCCUUGUCUUGGAUGCCUCCUACAAUUAACCUCGGUAGCAUAACAGCUCCUACAUUGGUUGACAUUCUGGUGACUAAAAAGGAAGUCAAAGCGUAUGAAAAAUUAAGCAAAAUAAUGGAAGAACUACAAGCAAUGGAAGAAGUAACAGAGGGUAAAUUCUCCAUCCGACAAGGUAUGUUAAGAUAUAAGGAUAAGUUUGUGUUGUCCAAAACAUCUACAUUGAUACCCACAAUCCUACAUACUUACCAUGAUUUGGUACUUGUGAGGAAUGUGUAAUAUGUCAGAAGAACAAGUCCCUAGUGUAACGAGCAUACUUGUCCAAGGUGUGUUUACCUAUGGCCGUAUGCUCCGAUUAGCCCCAAUUUACCUUGUCUUUAUGUCUUGCACGUAGCUUAGGUAGUUGCUUUCAAUUUCAAGUCGAUAUGCUUGGGUGUGACGUUUCGGCAUUUUCAUAUGUUAAAAAUGUACUAUAGGGGAGGCAUACCUGUUGAAUCCCUGCCCAAGCCUUGUCGUACUCUUUGCAGUCUAUGCUUUCUUAUUGCAAUUGACAGUCUUCAAUGCUUGUUUUAACAACGUUUUCAAUCAAUUUAAUCAUCUUUCAUGUUUUCUAAAACUAUUUUUCCAAGAACGUGAGGGGAGGUUGAAGUAUGUGUUAAAGUUGUCUGCGAUUUGCAGAUUUUGAUCGGCUGACUUGUUCGCCGAGCUAGAACAAGUGCCGCACAAUCGUUCACAUCGUGUUUGAAGGGUUACACAGUAAAGGAAGAGUAAGAAUUUGAGUGGAGAAACUCCAAUUGGGAUCAACACGUGGGCAACAACAUGGCUUCUCACCAACAUGAGAACUCAAAAGAGACAGCAGAUAUUCUAGAGAAGCCAAUGAACUCUUGGGAUGUGAAUCUGCACUUUCCUGCAAUAGUUUGAGUGUGAAUUAGUUCUCUGAAAACACCUGCAGAGGAUAAUCCACGGCAAAACAGAAUAACUAUAAAAAAACCACUUGCAAGUAGAAGAAAAAGGAAGUACAUUUAUACCUUCCCUGUCAAAGUGAUAUCCCUCAUCAACGGAUAUGCAUUUCUUUCCAGGAAGUAGCCAACAAUUUUACAAACCCAUGGGAGUUUAGGUUGUAAUAAGAAAACAAUUGUGUCCAACAAUAGAGUUGCAGGUGUGUUAGAGUUCACAGGUGCAGCCAAAAGUUGAUUCCUCAAUUGGUUUCUAUCAAGAACAACAUCAAGUAAGAAUAAUUCGGAGGAAAAAUAAAGGCAACUUAUCAUAUAUAUAAAUAUGAUUAGUCUGAAUUCGUUUGCGGAAGGUAAAAAAACCUUUAUGUCAAUUAUAUAUAUCUGAACAAAAUCUAAGAAAUAUAUCACUUUUCAACAAAAGAAAUAUAUCAUAUACAAUUAAAGGAUCAUAGCAUAGAAAGCCAACAAAAUCAACAAUGAUAGAUCAAACAUCUGUUUUUCCAUUCAAAACGUUAAAAAGGAUAAGUUUUUAAUAAGGAAUGUUGAAAUGGAAAAAACUAAUUACCUAUUAUGGUGUACAAUCUGGAUGCAAGCAUAUGCAAAUUUCUUAACUCUGUAAUCCACUAAGGCCUUGUUAAGUACAUAAUCCUUGCUAGCGAAAAUGCUCAACAUAUCCCCUAUAUAUGUAAGAGAGAGAAAGGUUAGAAAGUACUAACACUAAGAGAUAUGUGCUAUCAAUUAGAAACACUUUAAGAUGACAUUAUCAAUUAGAAAACCAAGUAUUAAGCAACAUAAGGGAAAAUAACAAACAAGGGCACCACAGUGGUUCAGAAACCAAUCAAUAUUUCCAUUUGUCACUUUUAUAAUAAUUUCCCAAGGGAAAAUCCUCAUAAUAAGCUUGAGUACCACCUAAUAACGUGUUCAAAUGUUACCAUAAGCAAAAAUGAGUGAUCCUAAAAUUCAUAUGACAAGGAAAGUCGUCAACUAGCAACCGCCAAAUAACAGUUAUAUGGCUAGAAUUAGUUUUCUCCAACUUCAAGAAAAUAAAACAUAUUAAAACAAAAGGAAUUAUGGUGCAAAAUAAUGAAUAUGCCUGCAAAGGUAAGAAGUUUCUGAAGGUAAAAAUGGUCAAUAAAAAACAACAUAUAAUUUGACGUAAAUCAAAGUAGAAUUAUUUCUCGCAAUGAAUUCUCUGCCAAUAAUGGCUAAGAGAAGGGGUAUUUAUUGAGAAUUAGUUGGCCAGGCAGAAAUCAUCUAGGGCAUAGUAUUGUUUUAGGUCUGCGACAUUAAAAACAUAAUGAAUGUGUAAGUCUGGUGGUAGUUCUAUUUUGUAAGCAUUAUCUCCGAUCCUCUUUAGGACACGGAAUGGUCCUAAUUGUCUGUCUUUUAGUUUGUUGUAUGUUUCGGUUGGAAAUCGAUUUUUUCUUAGGUGAAUCAUUACUAAAUCUCCCUUGGUAAAGGUAGUUUGUCUUCUUUUUCUGUCUGUUGCGUCUUUGUAGGACUGAGUUGUUUCUUUUAGGUGAUUGUGGACUUCUUCGUGUAAAUUCUGGAUUUUUUCUAUCAUCUUUUCUGCCUCUGAUAGUUAGGGAACUCAACACAUUUUACUUGACCUAACCAAGAUGGCUCUUUGUAUGUAUAUUGCAUGUGUUGUUUGUUUUUUCUAUAGCUCUUGAUUGUCUCACUUUUUUACGUUUUGCAUUUGCAAUUCUCUUUUCUUUCUUUGGUAUGCAAUGUGGUAACAAGGUCUUGCUAGAGCCGGUGGGCUAACCUUUCUAUGGUUCUAAACUUAGUUUCUAAGUUUGAUUGCUCCCUUCGGAGUGACAACAAGCCUCGUUUUCCCCUACUAUGGAAUGGGGAGGAUUCAUUUUCUUUUCAAAGCCCUCGUCAAACUCAAUGCUAAGUUUGACUGCUCCCUUCAAAGUGACAACAAGCCUUGUUUUCCCCUAAUGUGGAUCGGGGAGGAUUCCUUCUCUUUUCAAAGCCCUCAUCAAACUCGAUGUUGUGUUUAGAACGCUAAGAGUAGGUGGUCUGGUUUUGGUUAGGCCAAAAGUGAAGUUUUCCCCCAUUUUUUAUGGGCUUUUUCUAAUGUAUAUUGGAUAUGUUGUUUGAUUUUUUUUAUAGCUCUUGAUUGUCUUACUGUUUUAUGUUUUGCAUUGUCAAGUCUCUGUUUUCUUUCUUUGGUAUGCAAUGUGGUAACUAGGUCUUGCUAGAACCGGUAGGCUAACCUUUCUAUGGUUCUACAUUUAGUUCCUAAUUAAGUUUGAUUGCUCCCUUCGGAGUGACAAUAAGUUUUGUUAAUGUCGACCCUUUUCUAAAGGGAUUUAGUUCACUGUGGCUAGGCAAGAGGUUUCUAACUCAUGUUUGACAAGACAAAUUUGUUAAAACCAUCUUAGUUUUUAAAGAGUGCCUCCUAUCCCUUUUUUACUCUAUCUAGGCUAGGUUUGGACUAAGUGCAUCAUAGGUUAGUCACGACAAAGCAACAAAGGAAGACAAAGCUAGAAAAGUAUUCAUGCACUUAUUUAUUAUACAUGCAAUCAAGCAUUCACAACAUACAUACCAUUUUCUCAAUCAUGCAUUCACACCUCAAUAAGAAAUAGCUAAAAGGAGCUUAAAACAAAAAAGACAGCCGCUUAUUCUCAAAUUUCAGCACAUAUACUCAUCAAAAUUUAGAAUUUCACAUUGCAAACCCGAGCUCAGUGCUCAAGGGUUGCCAAUCAUGCUUUUUAUGCAAGAUCUAAUUAAGCUAAGAAGGUAUAAUGCUCAUUUUGUAUGGAAAGAAUUCUGAAAUUUUUUAAAAUUUGGGCAAAAUUUGAACCCCGAAGUUUAGACUAAACAUGCAAGCUAAGCAAGCUAUUACCCACACCCACUCAAAAAAUUGCUUUGUAUGUCCUAAAAGCUUUUGAAAAUCAAAGUAAAUGGAGAAAAAUAAGGGGGGAACUUUGGACUCCCCUAGAAGGAUCGACAUCCUUGACUUUGGUUUGAAGCUUGCAUGGAUAAACCUUUUCAUUCCUUUUUAAUUGAUUAUUCAUCGUUGUUCCUGAAAAUCAAAGGAAAUUCUCUCAAUUUUAUAUAUUACUAAAAUUAGGAUACAUAUAAGUCUUAACUAGUCUAAUAGCACCCUCCAUUCAUCUUCCCCUACACUGGCUAUGGUAUCAAAAUUUUCAAUUAAGUAAUACGUCUACUAACAAACUUGAAAACAAAAGACAUCACACUAAAAAACACAAACAUCACUUUAACCCAACAGAAGCUGCUCUUUUUACCCUUGCACUCACUAUCACAUUACUAUCAUGUUUGUCAACUGUCAAACUAACUCUUUUAAGUUAUUUAGUGUGACUACAAAGUUAUUAACACCAUAAUCUUAAUUAAAACCUUUUAAUAAACAAAUGCCAAGUUACUA
rnacentral:lncRNA from 1 species